rnacentral:tRNA from 1 species
GGGCUAUAGCUCAGCUGGGAGAACGCCUGCCUUGCACGCAGGAAGUCAGCGGUUCGAUCCCGCUUAGCUCCACCAUA